rnacentral:rRNA from 1 species
ACGCUGGCGGCAUGCCUUACACAUGCAAGUCGAACGGCAGCACGGGGGCAACCCUGGUGGCGAGUGGCGAACGGGUGAGUAAUACAUCGGAACGUGUCCUGUAGUGGGGGAUAGCCCGGCGAAAGCCGGAUUAAUACCGCAUACGCUCUACGGAGGAAAGGGGGGGAUCUUAGGACCUCCCGCUACAGGGGCGGCCGAUGGCAGAUUAGCUAGUUGGUGGGGUAAAGGCCUACCAAGGCGACGAUCUGUAGCUGGUCUGAGAGGACGACCAGCCACACUGGGACUGAGACACGGCCCAGACUCCUACGGGAGGCAGCAGUGGGGAAUUUUGGACAAUGGGCGAAAGCCUGAUCCAGCAAUGCCGCGUGUGUGAAGAAGGCCUUCGGGUUGUAAAGCACUUUUGUCCGGAAAGAAAACGCCGUGGUUAAUACCCGUGGCGGAUGACGGUACCGGAAGAAUAAGCACCGGCUAACUACGUGCCAGCAGCCGCGGUAAUACGUAGGGUGCAAGCGUUAAUCGGAAUUACUGGGCGUAAAGCGUGCGCAGGCGGUCCGCUAAGACAGAUGUGAAAUCCCCGGGCUUAACCUGGGAACUGCAUUUGUGACUGGCGGGCUAGAGUAUGGCAGAGGGGGGUAGAAUUCCACGUGUAGCAGUGAAAUGCGUACAGAUGUGGAGGAAUACCGAUGGCGAAGGCAGCCCCCUGGGCCAAUACUGACGCUCAUGCACGAAAGCGUGGGGAGCAAACAGGAUUAGAUACCCUGGUAGUCCACGCCCUAAACGAUGUCAACUAGUUGUCGGGUCUUCAUUGACUUGGUAACGUAGCUAACGCGUGAAGUUGUCCGCCUGGGGG